rnacentral:rRNA from 1 species
UACAGAGGGGGCAAGCGUUGUUCGGAAUUAUUGGGCGUAAAGGGCGCGUAGGCGGCCUGUUAAGUCGAACGUGAAAUCCCCGGGCUCAACCCGGGAACUGCGUCCGAUACUGGCAGGCUUGAAUUCGGGAGAGGGAUGCGGAAUUCCAGGUGUAGCGGUGAAAUGCGUAGAUAUCUGGAGGAACACCGGUGGCGAAGGCAGGUCUCUGGGCUGACACUGACGCUCAUGCACGAAAGCGUGGGGAGCAAACAGG